UGUCAAAGUGACCAAUGUUGCAAACAAUGGCAUUGUUCUUCAUUUUCCUCAUGUGGUCAACCAUGAUGAUGUCCUUGUUACCUGUGGUGGUAACAAAGAUAUCAGCCUCAGAUACAACAUCCUCCAAGGUCAAAACCUGAAGGCCUUCCAUGAGAGCCUGGAGGGCACAGAUGGGAUCAAUCUCAGUCACAAUGACACGAGCACCAGCCUGCUUCAACGCAGCAGCACAACCCUUGCCAACAUCACCAUAUCCAGCCACGACAGCCACCUUCCCCGCAAUCAUAACAUCAGUAGCCCUCAUCAAACCAUCGG
rnacentral:lncRNA from 1 species